ensembl:lncRNA
GGUGCAGACGUCCUCCCUCUGCCCUUCCUUGUCUCCACCUCCCGGAAUCUCUGAUCCAUGUGUUGAUCUGCAGGACUUGAUCUUCCCUGUGCUGCUCACACCCAGCACCCAGGGAGGACCUGACCCACAGCACACAGUCAGAAAUCUCUGUUUCCCCAAUGGGAUGCUGUGCUGUGAUGUGAUGAGCUGCUUCUCUGUCCCCAUCCUCUGACUUGAGGGUCAAACCUUCUCAAGGUCAAGAAGAGUCUCAGAUUUCCAAGAGUCUAUUCACAGCCUGGGAAGGCUCUCCCUGAUGUAGGUCAGCACUCACCAAGCUGUGGAUAAGUUGCCAGGCUGGGGCCGAUGGAGGAAGGUGACCCUGGGAGGUUGUGUCAUCUGCCAGGUCCCCGAGAGGAGCUCUCACCCCAGGUGGGGCAAGGAGGCUGUUUCACGGAUGUUGCUGGAAACCACUCUGAGCUCCCUGCUCCCUUCGCUUCACACAGCACACAUAGGGGAUCAGGAGAGCAAAGGAAAUUCUUAGGCUCUGAAUGGAAAUUCAUUAAAUUUCCAAGUGUCUCCAAGUUUUCUGAUGCUUAGCACUGGCCAGAGUCCAGUUCUGUAGCUUGAACUCAGAGAACC